rnacentral:rRNA from 1 species
GACGAACGCUGGCGGCGUGCUUAACACAUGCAAGUCGAGCGGUAAGGCCCUUUCGGGGGUACGACGAGCGGCGAACGGGUGAGUAACACGUGGGUGACCUGCCUCUAGCUCUGGGAUAAGCCUGGGAAGCUGGGUCUAAUACCGGAUAUGACCUCGCGGUGCAUGUUGCGGGGUGGAAAGCCUUGUGCGGCUAGGGAUGGGCCCGCGGCCUAUCAGCUUGUUGGUGGGGUGAGGCCUACCAAGGCGACGACGGGUAGCCGGCCUGAGAGGGCGACCGGCCACACUGGGACUGAGACACGGCCCAGACUCCUACGGGAGGCAGCAGUGGGGAAUCUUGCGCAAUGGGCGAAAGCCUGACGCAGCGACGCCGCGUGAGGGAUGACGGCCUC